rnacentral:rRNA from 1 species
UAGGGAAUCUUCGGCAAUGGACGAAAGUCUGACCGAGCAACGCCGCGUGAGUGAAGAAGGUUUUCGGAUCGUAAAACUCUGUUGUUAGAGAAGAACAAGGACGUUAGUAACUGUACGUCCCCUGACGGUAUCUAACCAGAAAGCCACGGCUAACUACGUGCCAGCAGCCGCGGUAAUACGUAGGUGGCAAGCGUUGUCCGGAUUUAUUGGGCGUAAAGCGAGCGCAGGCGGUUUCUUAAGUCUGAUGUGAAAGCCCCCGGCUCAACCGGGGAGGGUCAUUGGAAACUGGGAGACUUGAGUGCAGAAGAGGAGAGUGGAAUUCCAUGUGUAGCGGUGAAAUGCGUAGAUAUAUGGAGGAACACCAGUGGCGAAGGCGGCUCUCUGGUCUGUUACUGACGCUGAGGCUCGAAAGCGUGGGGAGCAAACAGG